rnacentral:lncRNA from 1 species
ACGCCCCGCUGCCUCGAUGAAGGGGGCACCUCCUGCUGCCUCUGCACCGUCUCUAGAAGGGUCGCACGUCUGGCUGUUAUGGGGCCCUGAAACGACGUUUGAGGGUUGCUAGAGGUUCCCUCAGACGAUUCAGACCUUUGGCCCUUCGAACCCUUCGUCGAUCUAAAAUUACCGCUCAUCCUGUUUAAAAUAUUAAUUUGAAUCAAGGCCAAUGUUUUAAAAAAUAUACACUUCCUAAAUACAGACUUACACUUCUUAAAUAUAAAUAUACACUUCCUAAAUACUAAAUACAAAUAUACACUUCCUAACAACACCACAACAUUGCAAUUGACCAGAAAAUCAAAGCAAACACAAAACGAAAUGUGAAACAGAAAUGUACUUAAGGAGGAGGGAGGGCUCGAGGCUGGUGCAAUAGGAGGAGGAGGGAGGACUGGAGCAGCAGGAGGAGGAGGGAGGACCAGAGUAGCAGCAAGAGGAGGGAGGGCCGGAGCAGCUGGAGUAGGCGAGCAGGAGGAGGAGGAGGGAGGACUGGGGCAGCAGGAGGAGGAGGAGGGAGGAUCGGAGCAACAGGAGGAGGAGGGAGGGCUGGAGCCGCUGGAGCAGGCGAGCAGCAGAGGGCGACCGGGAGAGGGAGAGGGAGAUUGGGCUUUGCUAGGAGGCGGUAGAGGCUGUGGAGCGACGGCGUCACGGCGAGGCGGGCGAAGAGGUGGAGGUGGUGUUUAGGGUUUAGUCUCGCAGACUGGGGAGGCUGUCGAGUGCAGCGCGAUAUACCCGACAACUUUACCUUACGAAAUAAAUAUUUCGUCAGCUAAAGCAAUAAAAUCUCGUCGGCUAAGACUAAUUUUGUCGGUUAAACGUUGAAAUUUGUCGGCUAAACCUUUCAAAUUUGUCGGCUAGACCUUUCAAAUUCGUCGGCUAAACCCUUGAAAUUCGUUGGCUAAACGUUGAAAUUCGUCGGCUAAAGUACCUUUUAUACAUUCGGCAAAUUGUGAUGAUCAAACUUGAGAAACGGAAAUCCAACCAUCAUGAUAAAAUACAUGUAUGGGAAAAAAUUCAACUUGAUCCGACAAGGUUAAGGGCUCGAUCCGGACGGUCAAUCCGUUAAGUCAAACCCCUAAACGCACGGAAAAGAUCAUUGGACCGUCUAAAUUACGUAUUUUGGCCAGACCUUCAACUGAAAAUAGUUUCAAACCGAUGAGCCCCAACAAGUCAUAUAAAAAUUUUACGGAAAAUAACCACCGAAGAUAGGGCUACCCAUAGAGAUAAAGAAUGAAAAAUUGCAUUGACCGCAACUAUUGGCACCGAGACUUUACUGGUAUACCUUGAUUUUUCAACCGUAGAUGUAUUUCACCAUUUUGGUCGUAUCUUAUUUCAUGACUUUUUUGCGUUUGUAGGUUCUAGGUUUAGUUUGUUUUUGAAAUGAAACAUUUACUCUUGGUAAACAAUUUAUACAACAUUACUAGGCAUGUUGUGAUUGUGAUUAUCAAACUUGAGAAACCAAAAUCCCACCGUCAUAUCUGACCAUCAUGAGAAAAUACAUGUGUGGGAAAAAAUUUAACAUCAUCCGACAAGGUUAAGGGCUCGAUCCAGACGGUCAAUCCGUUAAGUCAAACCCCUAAACGCACGGAAAAGGUCAUUGGACCGUCUAAAUUACGUAUUUUGGCCGGACCUUCAACUGAAAAUAGUUUCAAACCGAUGAUACCCAACAAGUCAUAUAAAAAUUUUACGGAAAAUAACCACCGAAGAUAGGGUUACCCAUAGGGAUAAAGAAUGGAAAAUUGCAUUGACCGCAACUAUCGGCACCGAGACUUUACCGGAAUACCUUGAUUUUUCAACCUUAGACGUAUUUCACCAUUUUGGUCAUAUCUUAUUUCAUGACUUUUUUGCGUUUGUAGGUUCUACGUUUAGUUUGUUUUUGAAACGGAACAUUUACUCUUGGUAAACAAUUUAUACAACAUUACUAGGCAUGUUGUGAUUGUGAUGCUCAAACUUGAGAAACCAAAAUCCCACCGUCAGAUCUGACCAUCAUGAUAAAAUACAUGUAUGGGAAAAAAUUCAACUUGAUCCGUCAAGGUUAAGGGCUCGAUCCGGACGGUCAAUCUCGUAAGUCAAACCCCUAAACGCAUGGAAAAGGUCAUUGGACCGUCUAAAUUACGUAUUUUGCCCGGACCUUCAACUGAAAAUAGUUUCAAACCGAUGAGACCCAUCAAGUCAUAUAAAAAUUUUAGGGUUUAGGGUUUAGCCGACGAAAUAUUAGGGUAUUCGUCGGCUAACCGCAUCUUAGCCGACGAAUUAUGAUAUAUUUCGUCGGCUAAGAUGGUUUAAGCCGACGAAUUAUGGUAUAUUUCGUCUGCUAAAGUGUAAAAAUACAUUAAAAAAACAGAAGGUUUAAACCAUACUAACUUCCUAUUCAAAUAUCACCAAAAUUCAUAUAAAAUAACAGAAAUAUGAAUUCAACAUAUAUAAACUAUAAAGGUUAUACAUUCUUUUUUAUUGCAAAUUAAUGUAAUCAGAAUUAAAACUAAGGCUCGUAAUCGGAAUCAUCCGAUGAGUCUUCUUCGGUGUCAGAAUUAAUUUCUGGUAAUCUAUGCCUUUCCUCAUCGCCAGAGUCUUCGUCUGUUUCUUGAUUUGGAUCAACACUCAAUAAGCCUUGGCUCUUCAUCACGAAU